GGAGCGGCGUGUUACCAGCCUCUGUAGGGCAGCGGCUUUCAAAUCUGAGGGGUAAAUCGAAGUGCCGAGUGCUGCCUAAUCAAAAAAAGAAAAGACUUAGGCCUGUCAACUCACAGAUGGUCCAUGAAGCAGGUAUUUUCCUUGCUGACGAUGCUGACUUCCAAGGACAGCUGAGACAUAUAGGAAGAGAAAAUCAUGACAGAUCAAACACAGGUAUGGGAAGAAAAGUUCCAAGUGUGGGAAGGCUUUGAGGGCUUUAUAGAAGUGGAGAAGCCAAGUUUGAAAAGGAGA